CUACGGGGGGCAGCAGUCGAGAAUAUUCGACAAUGGGCGAAAGCCUGAUCGAGCGACGCCGCGUGCAGGAAGAAGGUCUUCGGACUGUAAACUGCUUUUCUACGGGAAAAACCGCAAGGUGAUGGUACCGUGGGAAUAAGGGGCUGCAAACCUCGUGCCAGCAGCCGCGGUAAUACGAGGGCCCCAAGCGUUAUCCGGAUUUAUUGGGCGUAAAGAGUGCGCAGGAGGUCUGACGCGUCUUUUGUUAAAUUUCACAGCUUAACUGUGGAGCCGCAGGAGAUACGGUCAGACUAGAGGAUGCCAGAGGCUGAUGGAACGCACGGUGUAGGGGUGAAAUCCGUUGAUAUCGUGCGGAACACCAAAGGCGAAAGCAAUCAGCUGGGGUAUUCCUGACUCUCAGUGCACGAAAGCGUGGGGAGCAAAAAGGAUUAGAUACCCCGGUAGUC
rnacentral:rRNA from 1 species